rnacentral:rRNA from 1 species
UACGUAGGGGGGCAAGCGUUAUCCGGAAUUAUUGGGCGUAAAGAGCUCGUAGGCGGUUUGUCGCGUCUGCCGUGAAAGUCCGGGGCUCAACUCCGGAUCUGCGGUGGGGUACGGGCAGACUAGAGUGAUGUAGGGGGAGACUGGAAUUCCUGGUGUAGCGGUGAAAUGCGCAGAUAUCAGGAGGAACACCGAUGGCGAAGGCAGGGUCUCUGGGCAUUAACUGACGCUGAGGAGCGAAAGCAUGGGGAGCAAACAGG